CGACCCUCAAGCAUAGCUUGGUGUUGGGUAAGGUCCUAUGGGGACCAGCCCGUAACUCGUAGGCGGCUACCGCCCGCGCCCCCAGCGUAGCAGGCUCACGCACUCGCUCGGGGACGGUUCGCGUAGCGUGCCCACACUAAAAAUUUCAAAG
rnacentral:misc_RNA from 1 species